rnacentral:tRNA from 1 species
GUCCUCGUAGCUCAGUUGGAUAGAGCGCUUCCCUUCUAAGGAAGAGGUCACUGGUUCGAUCCCAGUCGAGGAUA